CCGGUGAUAAGCCGGAGGAAGGUGGGGAUGACGUCAAGUCCUCAUGGCCCUUAUGGACUGGGCUACACACGUGCUACAAUGGCGGUGACAGAGGGCAGCGAGGUCGCGAGACCGAGCGAAUCUCCAAAAACCGUCUCAGUUCGGAUUGCACUCUGCAACUCGAGUGCAUGAAGUUGGAAUCGCUAGUAAUCGCGGAUCAGCAUGCCGCGGUGAAUACGUUCCCAGGCCUUGUACACACCGCCCGUCACACCAUGGAAGUUGGCCACGCCCGAAGCCGUUACUCCAACCCUUGUGGAGGAGGACGUCGAAGGUGGGGCUGAUGACUGGGGUGAAGUCGUAACAAGGUA
rnacentral:rRNA from 1 species